AAGCGUACACGGUGGAUGCCUAGGCAAUCAGAGGCGAUGAAGGACGUGCUAAUCUGCGAAAAGCGUCGGUAAGGUGAUAUGAACCGUUAUAGCCGACGAUGUCCGAAUGGGGAAACCCAGUGCAAUUUGUUGCACUAUCGUUUGAUGAAUCCAUAGUCAAACGAGGCAAACCGGGGGAACUGAAACAUCUCAGUACCCCGAGGAAAAGAAAUCAACCGAGAUUCCCCUAGUAGCGGCGAGCGAACGGGGAGCAGC
rnacentral:rRNA from 1 species